GACGAACGCUGGCGGCGUGCUUAACACAUGCAAGUCGAACGGAAAGGCCCUGCUUUUGUGGGGUGCUCGAUUGGCGAACGGGUGAGUAACACGUGAGUAACCUGCCCUUGACUUUGGGAUAACUUCAGGAAACUGGGGCUAAUACCGGAUAUGAUCUCCUGCUGCAUGGUGGGGGUUGGAAAGUUUCGGCGGUUGGGGAUGGGCUCGCGGCUUAUCAGCUUGUUGGUGGGGUAGUUGCUUACCAAGGCUUUGACGGGUAGCCGGCCUGAGAGGGUGACCGGCCACAUGGGGACUGAGAUACGGCCCAGACUCCUACGGGAGGCAGCAGUGGGGAAUAUUGCACAAUGGGCGGAAGCCUGAUGCAGCGACGCCGCGUGCGGGAUGACGGCCUUCGGGUUGUAAACCGCUUUCGCCUGUGACGAAGCGUGAGUGACGGUAAUGGGUAAAGAAGCACCGGCUAACUACGUG
rnacentral:rRNA from 1 species